UCAAGGAGGAGGUGGUGGCCAAGGGCCGUGGGCGUGGUGGGCUGCAGCAGCAGAAGCAGCAGCGGGGCCGCGGCCUGGGCAGCGCGGGGCGAGGAGUGUUUGGCGGCCGGGGUCGUGGUGGCCUACCGGGCACAGGCCGGGGACAGCCUGAGAAGAAGCCAGGAAGACAGGCGGGCAAGCAGUGAGGGUUCCUGCCUCAGCCAGGCCCUGGGGCCUCCACACUGCAGCAGAGGGAAGAGGAGAAGCAGAGGGGCCCCAGCAGACGCUAUCUCGGGCUGGCCUCCCCUUAGGCAGCCGUUGUACCCUGGUGUGUCAUUGGGACUCCUGUUUUGUGACUUUGCUGUCCCUGGAGUGGGCUGGCAUUUUGGAAGACAGCUGGGUUUAAAGCAUCUCUCCAGCCCUUGGGCCUGUGGUCGUGGCCCCACCCUGCUAUGCUGCAGCAGCAGCUGAGAGGCUGUCUUCCUGCACCCCUCACUGACGCCUGGAGCCUGCUCCCUCCUGCUCCCCGUCUUGCGAAUAAAGCCCCUGCAGUUCCAGACUCAA